rnacentral:siRNA from 1 species
GGCGGUGUCACAAUUACACUGGAC